CGCGUAGGUGGCUUGUCAGGUCUGAUGUGAAAAACCUGGGGCUCAACUCCAGGCCUGCAUCAGAAACCGGCUUGCUAGAGUCUGGGAGAGGAGAGUGGAAUUCCUGGUGUAGCGGUGAAAUGCGUAGAUAUCAGGAGGAACACCGGUAGCGAAGGCGGCUCUCUGGAACAGUACUGACGCUGAGGCGCGAAAGCUAGGGGAGCGAACA
rnacentral:rRNA from 1 species